UACAGAGGGGGCAAGCGUUAUUCGGAAUUAUUGGGCGUAAAGGGCGCGUAGGCGGCUUUGCAAGUGACGGGUGAAAUCCCACGGCUUAACCGUGGAACUGCCUGUCAGACUGCAUGGCUUGAGACCAGGAGAGGUGAGUGGAAUUCCCAGUGUAGCGGUGAAAUGCGUAGAUAUCGGGAGGAACACCAAUGGCGAAGGCAGCUCGCUGGGACGUUACUGACGCUGAGACGCGAAAGCGUGGGGAGCAAACAGG
rnacentral:rRNA from 1 species